AAGUAAUGCUAGUAGAAAAUACUCAUUGGUGAGAGUUAUUUUCAAAGAUCAAGAUUCCUCCUCUAUUUGUAUUUUAUUCAUUAUUUCAUUUUAGUAUUUUUAUGGAAGAACAGGAGUCUAUGGCUGUCAAACUCGACAAUGAUUUGAAUAACUACAUUGACAAAGUUAUUGAGAAAAAUCAGAAUUAUAGAUAUGAGCAUCCAUUGAGUGAAGACAAUUGGGAAGAAGAAUUGGAAAAUGUUCCACUGUUCAUGACGAAAAGCCCUGAUGAAAUUAAUCCAGAUAAAGCACCAGCUUUGGCUGCAAUGCAAGCAAUUAAAUUUGAGGAAGAUAGUCCAUAUGCAAAAGCAUUGUCAUAUAAAGAAGACGGAAUGUGGAAUAUAAAAAGGAAACUAUAAAAAUCUAUCAAACUGUACAGUGAGGGAAUCCAAGUGAACUGUACUGAUAAAAUUUGAUAUCAAAUUUAUAUACAAACAGAGCAAAUGCACACUUUAAAAUAGGAAAUUAUCGAUCGUCAUUAAAUGAUGCAAAAGAAACAAUGAACAUAGAUCCUUGUUAUAUUAAAGCUAUAUUUCGUGGAGGUUGUGCUUGUAUGGAGCUAGAAAAAUAUGAUGAGGCAAUAACAUGGUUCCAGGAAGGACUGACUUAUGAUCCUAAUUCAAACACUUUCAAAGAUCUUCAAAAAAAGGCAAAACUGAAACUA